rnacentral:rRNA from 1 species
AACAGGAUUAGAUACCCUGGUAGUCCACGCCGUAAACGAUGAGUGCUAAGUGUUGGGGGGUUUCCGCCCCUCAGUGCUGCAGCUAACGCAUUAAGCACUCCGCCUGGGGAGUACGACCGCAAGGCUGAAACUCAAAGGAAUUGACGGGGGCCCGCACAAGCGGUGGAGCAUGUGGUUUAAUUCGAAGCAACGCGAAGAACCUUACCAAAUCUUGACAUCCUUUGGACGCUCUUGAAAACAAAUCUUCCCCUUCGGGGGACACAGUGACAGGUGGUGCAUGGUUGUCGUCAGCUCGUGUCGUGAGAUGUUGGGUUAAGUCCCGCAACGAACGCAACCCUUAUUCUUAGUUGCCAUCAUUCAGUUGGGCACUCUAAGGAGACUGCCGGUGAUAAACCGGAGGAAGGUGGGGAUGACGUCAAAUCAUCAUGCCCCUUAUGACUUGGGCUACACACGUGCUACAAUGGACGGUACAAACGGUUGCUAACCCGCGAGGGGGAGCUAAUCCGAUAAAAGUUGUUCUCAGUUCGGAUUGUAGGCUGCAACUCGACUACAUGAAGCUGGAAUCGCUAGUAAUCGUAGAAUCAGCAUGCUACGUGAAUACGUUUCCCGGGUCUUUGUACACACCGCCCGUCACACCACGAGAGUUUGUAACACCCGAAGUCGGUGGAGUAACCAUUUAUGAAGCUAGCCGUCAAAGUGGGAUAGAUGAUUUGGUGUGAAGUCGUAACA